AAUCCAUGCUAUAGGCAUUUCCUGAGUAAUCCUUUAAAACUUUUCCAUGCUUCAUACAAUGAUUCAUUGUCGUUUUGAGCAUAGCAAGAAAUCUCAACUUUCAACUU